CCCUUAGAUGUUCUGGGCCGCACGCGCGCUACACUGAUGCAUUCAACGAGCCUAGCCUUGACCGAGAGGUCCGGGUAAUCUUUGAAACUGCAUCGUGAUGGGGCUAGAUUAUUGCAAUUAUUAAUCUUCAACGAGGAAUGCCUAGUAAGCGUGAUUCAUCAAAUCGCGUUGAUUACGUCCCUGCCCUUUGUACACACCGCCCGUCGCUCCUACCGAUUGAGUGUGUUGGUGAGGAGUUCGGAUUGGCUCUUAGUGGUGGUUCGCCACCACCUAGAGCUGAGAAGUUCUCCAAACCGCCCCACUUAGAGGGAGGAGAAGUCGUAACA
rnacentral:rRNA from 1 species